UACAGAGGUGGCAAGCGUUGGUCGGAAUUACUGGGCGUAAAGGGCGCGUAGGCGGCCAUCUAAGUCAGACGUGAAAUCCCCCGGCUUAACCUGGGAACUGCGUCUGAUACUGGAAGGCUUGAGUAUGGGAGAGGGAUGUAGAAUUCCAGGUGUAGCGGUGAAAUGCGUAGAUAUCUGGAGGAAUACCGGUGGCGAAGGCGGCAUCCUGGACCAUUACUGACGCUGAGGCGCGAAAGCUAGGGGAGCAAACGGG
rnacentral:rRNA from 1 species